rnacentral:rRNA from 1 species
UGGGGAAUAUUGCACAAUGGGCGAAAGCCUGAUGCAGCGACGCCGCGUGCGGGAUGAAGGCCUUCGGGUUGUAAACCGCUUUUGAUUGGGAGCAAGCGAGAGUGAGUGUACCUUUCGAAUAAGCACCGGCUAACUACGUGCCAGCAGCCGCGGUAAUACGUAGGGUGCAAGCGUUAUCCGGAAUUAUUGGGCGUAAAGAGCUCGUAGGCGGUUUGUCGCGUCUGGUGUGAAAGUCCAUCGCUUAACGGUGGAUCUGCGCCGGGUACGGGCAGGCUAGAGUGCGACAGGGGAGACUGGAAUUCCCGGUGUAACGGUGGAAUGUGUAGAUAUCGGGAAGAACACCAAUGGCGAAGGCAGGUCUCUGGGUCGUCACUGACGCUGAGGAGCGAAAGCGUGGGGAGCGAACAGGAUUAGAUACCCUGGUAGUCCACGCCGUAAACGGUGGAUGCUGGAUGUGGGGCCCAUUCCACGGGUUCCGUGUCGGAGCUAACGCGUAAGCAUCCGCCUGGGGAGUACGGCCGCAAGGCUAA